GCCGGGCAUGGUGGCGCAGGCCUGUAAUCCCAGCUACUCGGGAGGCUGAGGCAGGAGAAUCGCUUGAACCCAGGAGGCAGAGGUUGCAGUGAGCCGAGAUCGCGCCACUGCACUCCAGCCUGGGCGACAAAGUGGGACUCCGUCUCAA
rfam:Homo sapiens chromosome 9, GRCh38 reference primary assembly.